UGUACUUUAACCUUUAACAUAUAAAAGUAAAUCUGAAAAUCUGUCUCAUUAAUAUGUUUAAAGGUAUCUUAAAUGAGCUAAAUUGUUGGAGUUUGUAAUAUACUUUUGAGGGCAAUAGUUUGGCAUUUAUUGUAACUCGAUAUCGUCUCGAAAUACAGUGUAUCUGAAUAAAUAAACGUUGAAGAGGCCACUGAACGUCGAGAGUGCGAUUUAUGACGUAAUGGCUUGCCGCCUAGUGAUGAUGGCGGUGCGUGAACGCGCAGUGACAGUAAUGGCUGAUCUGGAUCGGCGGCUGCCUAGCCUCGAUGAUUUCGUGGGUCAAAGCUGGACUGCUUGGACCGAGUGGACCGGUGUGACAGUGCAUGACGGACAUGAUGUGGUUGACUGCAAUAAAAAUGAAAAAAAGGCUGCAGAAGCAAUGUCACUCAGCAAGGACGUCCUCUGGGUUCUUCUAACAGACAUGUCAAUCUUUGGCCUUUACCCUGGCUACGAUGACUUCUACCUUGUGGUGUGUAGCCACUGUGGUCAAGUAGUGAAGCCGCAAGCAUUCGAGAAGCACUGCGAGAGGAGACAUGGACCUCUGUCCAAACAUUAUGCUCGAAUAUGCUCCCCGCCACCCCAGCCCCAGCAGAGGACCCAUCACAGCUAUUCUCCUUCUCAGGGGAACAAUCCCAUUCCUGCUUCAUCAUGGGAUGCUCGAGGCCAAGGUGGCAGUUCAGGUAGACCAUCAUCACAAGCCCCGUCUACACCCCCGCAGCACAGACCCAUCAAAAACACAAAGGAAGGAGCACGACAUUUCUCACUGGAAAAAUCAACCCACAGCAGCCACACAGAUUUAUCAGUAUUCAAACAGCCAACACCUCUGGAGCCUCCGAUUUGCCCUCCAUCCGCAUCCGUCAGAGAUCCCCCAUGGUCACACAGCGGCACCUCACCUGGUAGAUCUUCAGUCAUUGACAGGCUCCACGCCCAAAGGAAGAAUUUUUCUCCAGCGUCGGUAGUCCCAAACCACCGUAUUCCCAGGCCAUACAACAAAGUGGCCUCCAAAAGAGAGUGUGAUUUGGACAAACACUGUGGUGUCCUUGAUCCUGACAGGAAGAAAGUCUGCACUCGUCUCCUGACAUGCAAUAUCCAUUCCAUCCACCAGCGUAGGAAGGUGCAAGGCCGCAGUAAGACCUUUGACCAGUUAGUGGCUGAACUUAAGACCAAAGUCCGUGAGAAGGGGGGACAAACGGUGGAGGGAAUUUCCUCGUCUGGAUGGUCCCCCUGCCCAGAGAUACCAAAAGCUCAAGAUGAGGCUCCACACUGCCGGAGACCUUUGGCCACCCUCCCUGAUUUCAGUUGUUCCACAGCUGUAUCAGAGAGCACCCUAGAGAAUGACAGGCAGCUUCAGACUUACGGAAAGCUACGAGCCCCUUCCCCUCUUGUCAUUGGAACAAUUUCCAGUGACGAAAGUGAGGCAGAAAGAGCAGCAAACCCGAUUGAAUUCCAGUCUUCUUCUGCACAUCCGAGACCACUAGCAAUGUGUUCAUUUGGCGGCAGUGUGUUAGGCAGUGGCAUCUACACAUUUGACAGAAGGCUUCACCACCUGAGGUCUGCUUUGAGCAGCAUGCUAGAGCAGCACACCAGUGUCCAUCUUUGGAAGAAAAUACCUCAAGCCACCAAUCACCAGUGUCUAACCUCCACCAAGAUUGUCACCUCGUCGUCUCCCACCUCAAUAAUCAGCGCAUCCUCCACCUCAUUACAUUCUAAAAUCCACUCAGCUUGUCAAUUGAAGACCUCCCACAAAAACAUGUCAUCAUCGUCAUCUUGCAGUCGUGGGCCCGGGAGACAUUUGACAGAUGUCCUAUCAGAGUAUUAUGGAAGCAGCGGUGGUGGUGUGGGAGGUUGUCACCUACUCACUUCAGGUAAUCCUGAGGGUGUGCACCAUGAAAGUCCAGGACAGCCUAAGAACCCAGUUGGGCGUCCCAGCAAGCAGAUGCAGAAGCUGCGAGAAAAUGCCGUUGCUGCUGUCACCCUCCGCAAACGAAAAACCCCAUCUCAGGAAGGGAAGUAUUCAGGUCCCAACAGGAACUGUGUUACCCAACACGACCAGUGCCGGCCACUCUCCAUAGCCUCUUCCCCCUCACCCUCUUCGUCUUCUUCUAAAGCACCCAUUCUACCACCUCGUCCCCACGAGAAGAUCAAUGGUAUGCUCUCACUUGGCAGCAAACCCCACCCCCAGCCCUGUCCUAGAGAGUCACACGCCACAGCUGCAAAAACAGUCUGGACUUACAGACGGACUCAUCCUCUUUUGAGUCAUUCAUUAUCCCCAGAGCCCUCUUCUAUUAACAAUUCCCACUCUUGGAAUGCUAUUGGGGACUCAGGACUGCUUGGCCAGGGCGGCGGGCGAACGUUUGAGCACCCUGGUUUGAUUAAAAAGUGCAAGGGAGGUGGCCUUGAGGAACACACCCCUUCAGCUCACCGCCUGCCCUCUUCAUCCUCUGCCCCUCCUGCUUCCUCUUCUCCUAUCUCUACCUUCUACCCAUGGAAGGACAGUAAUAGUGGAGCCCUGGCUGUGGGGAUGGAGAAAACGCUGGGCACACAGGCUCUCACACGCCCCCCCCGGCAUCGCAUCGCAACGCAACCCCCCAGGGGGUCAUGCCCCGCUAUUUGAGAAGCACUGCGCGAAUAGACCGUACACCGGCUGCAUUUCCUGUUUCACUCUUCAGAAUGAAACUAGCCAAAACUGCACCAUUAACUGUGCCUGCUUUUACAAGCUACGUGAGGGAGCCAGCUCGACCCAUUCCAAGACUGUAGUAACAGGAUUGUGGAAGCAAGUGCACACUUUGUUCAACAUGCCAGCAAAUGAUUUAUGGAU